rnacentral:rRNA from 2 species
UCUGUAACUGACGCUGAGGAGCGAAAGCGUGGGGAGCGAACAGGAUUAGAUACCCUGGUAGUCCACGCCGUAAACGAUGAGUGCUAAGUGUUAGGGGGUUUCCGCCCCUUAGUGCUGCAGCUAACGCAUUAAGCACUCCGCCUGGGGAGUACGGUCGCAAGACUGAAACUCAAAGGAAUUGACGGGGGCCCGCACAAGCGGUGGAGCAUGUGGUUUAAUUCGAAGCAACGCGAAGAACCUUACCAGGUCUUGACAUCCUCUGACAAUCCUAGAGAUAGGACGUCCCCUUCGGGGGCAGAGUGACAGGUGGUGCAUGGUUGUCGUCAGCUCGUGUCGUGAGAUGUUGGGUUAAGUCCCGCAACGAGCGCAACCCUUGAUCUUAGUUGCCAGCAUUCAGUUGGGCACUCUAAGGUGACUGCCGGUGACAAACCGGAGGAAGGUGGGGAUGACGUCAAAUCAUCAUGCCCCUUAUGACCUGGGCUACACACGUGCUACAAUGGGCAGAACAAAGGGCAGCGAAACCGCGAGGUUAAGCCAAUCCCACAAAUCUGUUCUCAGUUCGGGAUCGCAGUCUGCAACUCGACUGCGUGAAGCUGGAAUCGCUAGUAAUCGC